AGUGAACGCUGGCGGUAGGCCUAACACAUGCAAGUCGAACGGCAGCACAGUAAGUGCUUGCUCUUACGGGUGGCGAGUCGCGUACGUGUGAGGAAUACAUCGGAAUCUACUUUUUCGUGGGGUUUAACGUAGGGAAACUUACGCUAAUACCGCAUACGCCCUACGGGUGAAAGCAGUGGAUCUUCUGACCUUUCGCGAUUGAAUGAGCCGAUGUCGGAUUAGCUAGUUGGCGGGGUAAAGGCCCACCAAGGCGCCGAUCCGUAGCUGGUCUGAGAGGAUGAUCAGCGAAACUGGAAGGGAGACACGGAACAGAGUACUACGGGAGGGAGCAGUGGGGAAUAGGGGACAAUGGGGGGAAGCAUGAACCAGCCAUACGGAGUGGGAGAAGAAGGAGUUCGGGUUGUAAAGACCUUUUGUGGGGAAAGAAAAGCAGCAGGUUAAGACCCCGCUGUUGUGACGGUAACCAAAGAAGAAGCACCGGCUAACUUCGUG
rnacentral:rRNA from 1 species